GCCUGGGUGGCUCAGUUGGUUGAGCAUCUGACUCUUGAUUUCAGCUCAGGUCGUGAUUCCAGGGUUGUGAGAUCAAGCCCCACAUCAGGCU
rnacentral:tRNA from 1 species